GCAUGGGUAGCUCUGUUGGUAGAGUAUUAGACUUUUAAUUUGAGAAUCCAGAGUUCAAGUCACUGUUUGGGUG